UACGGAGGGGGCUAGCGUUGUUCGGAAUUACUGGGCGUAAAGCGCACGUAGGCGGCUUUGUAAGUCAGAGGUGAAAUCCCGGGGCUCAACCCCGGAACUGCCUUUGAGACUGCAUCGCUUGAAUCCAGGAGAGGUGAGUGGAAUUCCGAGUGUAGAGGUGAAAUUCGUAGAUAUUCGGAAGAACACCAGUGGCGAAGGCGGCUCACUGGACUGGUAUUGACGCUGAGGUGCGAAAGCGUGGGGAGCAAACAGG
rnacentral:rRNA from 1 species